GGAAGGCAGACCCAGGGAACUGAAACAUCUAAGUACCUGGAGGAAGAGAAAGAAAAAUCGAUUUCCUGAGUAGCGGCGAGCGAAACGGAAAGAGCCCAAACCAAGAAGCUUGCUUCUUGGGGUUGUAGGACACUCUAUACGGAGUUACAAAAGAAAGUUAUAAAUGAAGCGGUCUGGAAAGGCCCGCCAAAGACGGUAACAGCCCGGUAGUUGAAAUGGCUUUCCCUCCAGAGUGGAUCCUGAGUACGGCGGAACACGUGAAAUUCCGUCGGAAUCCGGGAGGACCAUCUCCCAAGGCUAAAUACUCCCUAGUGACCGAUAGUGAACCAGUACCGUGAGGGAAAGGUGAAAAGCACCCCGGAAGGGGAGUGAAACAGUUCCUGAAACCGUGUGCCUACAAGUAGUUAGAGCCCGUUAAUGGGUGAUAGCGUGCCUUUUGUAGAAUGAACCGGCGAGUUACGAUUUGUUGCAAGGUUAAGCGGAAAAAGCGGAGCCGUAGCG
rnacentral:rRNA from 1 species